rnacentral:rRNA from 1 species
GCAUGGGAAUAUUUGUUAAAGAGUUAUCGGUGUCGGAUGGGCAUGCGUUCCAUUAGCUAGUUGGUGAGGUAACGGCUCACCAAGGCGACGAUCAGUAGGGGUUCUGAGAGGAACGGUCCCCCACAUUGGAACUGAGACACGGUCCAAACUCCUACGGGAGGCAGCAGUGAGGAAUAUUGGUCAAUGGACGGAAGUCUGAACCAGCCAAGUCGCGUGAAGGAUGAAGGUUCUAUGGAUUAGUAAACUUUCUUUUGUCUGAGGGUAAAAAAGGCCACGUGUGGCUUCUUGCAAGUAUCAGACGAAUAAGCAUCGGCUAACUCCGUG